rnacentral:lncRNA from 1 species
UGAUUUAUUACCUUUUGAAUAUUUGGUGUAAGCAUGUUGCUCAAUUCUAAGGACUUAGCCAUCCUCUUAGCAAAUUUUCUCAUAUGCUUAACCCUUAGGCAUUCAAGGAGUUUAAUGAGAGGCUUCUCCAGAGCUUUUAAUAUCCAGCUGUGAAAUGAUUCGGAGAUGUUCGAUGUCAAAUGAUUUUAUCUACACCCUUGAAAAUAUGCAUUUGUCAUCCCUGAAAAUAUGCAUUUGUCCAAUUUUUUGGAUAUUGUUUUAUGAUAUAGACAUAGGCCUCAUCAUUUGCACUCUUAAUUUUUGACAUGUACUCAUCGAACAUUGAUACAGCUAAUGCACGUGUCACUUUUCAAUAAAGUUUUGUGAGCACCGGAUUUCUAAAUUCCUUUUUGAAGUUAUUGGUUAAGUGACACAUACAAUACCCUUGUUCAUUGGUUAGGAAUAUUUUUUCAAUUGCUUCUUGCAACCCUUUUUGACGAUUUGAUAUAAUAGACAAAGCUGGCAGAUCAUGCCUUUCUUGAAACUGCUCAUUGAGAAGCUAUAGAAACCAAGUCCAACUUUGUGUAUUUUCACUCUCAACUACUGCAUAUGCUAUGAAAAUAUAUUUUCAUUCACAUAUAUCGUGAUCACGUUGUACAUCAUUAAUAACAUCUCCAGAUGUCAAAUUGGGUAUAUCAUUCAAACAGUCUUUGAUCUUGGUUACCACCCCAUGGCUUCGAGCAAGGGGCUGAUGAACCAUGCCUAUUGUACCGACACAAGAGUGCACAUUUACAAAGUUCUUCACCUAGAAGAAGAUUGUAGUAUUAACCAUCCAACGACGCACUUGCCAUGGACACUCAUCUGCAACACACCUCACUCAUACUUGUCUCUCCUCACUUUUACAAACUUCAUAUUGAAGUUUUGUGAUAUGGCAUAAUCAAUAAGAUGAUUACGAUAUGCUUGUACGUCAUCAAAAUCCUGACCCUGUUGAAGUACAACUUCAUAACUGUCAAUCAUGAUAUAGCUUUCUAUCAUAUCGAUGUCGUCAAUAUGGUGCUUGAUUUCUAAAUCAUGCUCAUCUUCACUCUGAACGACUUACUCUUGUCGGGUAUCGCUGUCGAAAAAAUAUUAGAAGAGCAAGUGAGAAUUAUCCUAACCCAUAACAUCUGCACUAAAAAAUUUAUUAAAUAAAAAAAUAAAUUUUAUUACAAACUUGUUACAUGAUCAAUCUUAAUGGACCAUUAUCGACCACUGUUGGUGGUCAAGAUUCGGUGGAGUCCGACUCAAUAGGUCUGUUUGAUACAUACUUAGCAAUGGGAGAAGACCCUUCCAUCAUAUUUGCAAUGUCGUCAUCAUCGUCAAUACAUACCAUAUUCAUGUUACCUAGUAACCCUGAAUCAAUAUACCUAAUAGACAUGGUACUUGGAGCACAAUUUGUUACUUUUCAUCGGUGAGCUUUUAUUUGGUCGAAGGAUGAGAUUCGCCUAAAAUAAGUAAUCUUCAGGUCCCCACCAUUAUAGAAAACACGUCCACUAUUAGAAUUCCUCUUGAAAGAACCACCAAAGUGUAAAGCGAUUUUCACUUUGUCGUCACCCAUUUUUGGUGCGUGCAAGCCCAAUCACUACUGAGAUCUCCAAUUUAAGAUAGAAACAAAUAUAAAAUGGAAAUUUUUGGUAUCAAUAACGGAAGAAAGCAAUGCAUGUAUAAAGUUUUUAAAAUAUUUAGAUAUAAUGACGAGGUAGCAUUACAGAGGGAUAUUAGAUGUCAAUACAUAUGCAUUAAUACAAAUAUAGAUCUAAAAUUUAUUUAUGCAAUAUUUCAAACAAAAAAAUUACAAAUGGCCAACCCAACUACAUCAAAUACCAAAAAAAAAAGAGCAUAAUAUUUGUUAAAACAUAAUAUUUGCACAUCCAAGGAAAUAUAAUUCAAAGCUUGAUGAUUUUCAUGACAUACCUAUAAAAUGGUAUUGGUGUGUAUCACAGAUUGAGAAAUAGAAGGAGAUGACAGAAAAUAGAUGAGAUAUUAGAGAUGGAGGAGGAUAAGGAAGAGAUGUGUGGGGUUAGAGUGCGAAUGAGAUGGGAAAAUAAUAUUUUAGUGUUUUUAGGAGGGGUUAGAGGGAAAUGGGGUUUUUAGGCCUAAAGAAAUUGUGAAAUAGGGCGUGAAAGCUUAGAAAAACUCACGGUUGUUUUCCUAUUGUAUAAAGUAUCAAUAGGGUUACAAUACUUUAAGUACCGUAAUAUGUUUUAAUAGUAUUACGGUAAUUCGGGUACUGUAAUAAAAACAGGUUUUUUUAUGGCAUUAUAAGUAUCGUAUAAAAUUGGGUAUUCAUUAAGGUACUUAAAGUACCAUAAUAUUCUUUACUGUAAUAUGACUACCAUGAAGGUUAUUUUAGUCACAAAACACCUAAAAUUGAAGAACAAAGGUGUAGACGAGGUUUAUGAAAGUUAGAGUUUUUUUUUUAAAUAAAAAAAAAUUAAGAUAUAUUUGUGAUAAUUUCCUUAAAAAAGCAUAAAAAGUUCUCUCUCUCGGCUUCUUAUUCAAGUCUAAAAAAACCUUCUCUCUCUUGGGUUCUCAUUCACGUCUAAAAAACCUCUAUGAAGGGGCGAACUGCUUAAAAAACCCACUUUUUUACAACAUCAUUUCUUCCAUUUUAAACUUGGGUGACAUUUGUAUAGAACCGAGUGUGAUACCCUAAAAUAUAUUUCCAUAUCUAAAUAAAAAAUGUCAAGCUUAAAAAAUAGUGUAGAUCGAGUUGAUCUAUGAAAACUUAAAAAUUAUAAAAAUUGACAAUCCAAAAAUGCAUUACAAGAUCCAUUAUUUCCAAAACUUGGAAUUUAUUUAUUUUAUUAUGUCCAUCCAUCUUAAUGUCGAAAUGAUCAAUUUAAAGAUUUAAUAUCAAAACAACCUCUUCUAGUGAAUUUUUUGAGGUGGGCUUUAAUUUGAUAGUUUAGAGGCUCGACUCUAUAUAAACUUUCUUUUUAAAAACUUUACUUUUUUUUCUUUUUUCUUUUCUCUAAAAAUUACCUCAAACCCUUAUAUAAAAAAAGAAAUAUCUCCUUAUCCCUUUAUUUUAGGUUUCAUUUAUUAAUAAGGCUACAAAAGAUAUCUUCUAACACCUAGUCAUUUUAAAUUUAUUUUUUAACUUAAAUAAAUGUGAAAAAACAUGCUUUUUUAAAACCAAUUAUUUCUCAAACUUCACUUAUAUAUAUCCUAAACUGCACAUUUUUUUUCCAAUUAUUUCUCUCACUUCACUUAUAUAUAUCCUAAACUUCACAUUUUUUUUUUUUAAGCAUAUCUCACUCUCCCCUCUUGUUUUUUGAAAACACCUCUCGAUUCCAUGAAACCCUUCUCCUCUUGUGUUUUUCAAACACCUCUCCGAACCCUUCUCCUCUUGUGUUUUUCAAACACCUCUCGAUUCCAUGAAUCCCUUAUCUUUCAAGGAGUUUGGGAUGUGGCUUUUAAAAACAAAAGUGCGUCUCUUUAAAUAUGUUUGGCAUAAAAAAGGUUAAAUUAAGUAAAGCAGUUGAAGGUUAUUGUCGUAGUAUAAAAUAAGUGAAAGCAAAACAUGGCAAGACAGACCGAUAUGAAUGUGGUGUUUAGAGAGAGAGGACGGGGUUUUAGAAAUAGCUGUAAAAGACUCCUGGUUUUAGAGAGAGAAAAAUAAUAGACAAAGACGGGGUGUAAGUCGUCUUAGGGCUUUUGAGAGAGUGUGUACGCUGUUCAAAAGAGAGAGAGAGAGGGUGGUGAUGGUUAUAGAGAGAGAAAGAGGCUCUGUUAGCCACCUAAUAGUUUUAGAGAGAGAGAUUCAUGGAGAGAGAGAUGUGUUAGCCGUCUGAUGGGUUUAGAGAGAGAAAUUCAUAGAGAGAGGGGGGAGAGAAUUACCCAUAUCCGGGGCAAAAAAUGGUUAUCCGUUUGGAUAAUCAAACUUAAAUGAGCAAUAAUGACGAAAGAGAUCAAUUAACUGCACAGCCCCAACCAAUUUCCCCUAUAAAUACUACUCCCCAAUCCAAUCCAACCCAAUAACCAAAGCUAGAGAGAAAAUCUAAAACCGCAAAAUUUUUUUUAGAGAGAGAGAGGGAGAGAGAAUACUUUGGAGCGAGAGGUUCUAAAGCCCCAAAAUUUAGAGAGAGAGAGAGAGAGGAGAGAAUACUUUGGAGAGAUAUUUUACAGAGAGAAUUCCAAAGCCUCAGAGAGAAGAGAGAAACCCGAAGGGAAGAGAAACCCAAGAGAGAGGACAGAUAAACACCUAAGAGAGAGAAGAGAUAAAACGCCUAAGAGAGAGAAACCCAAACGCAAGAAAAAACCCAGAGAGAGAAGAGAGACAAACACAGAGGAAACAGAGAGAAGAGAAGUUCAGGGGAAGAGAGAGAAAAACUCAAAACAAGGAGAUAGAUAUUAUUAUAUAUAUUUAGAGAGAUAAAGAGAGAUCGAAGCCCCAAACACAAGAGAAGAGAGAAACCCAAAAGGCGAAAACCAUGGAAGAUGACCAAAAUACCGCUCACCCAUUGCUCAGAGGAGGAAGAAAGGAGAAGAGCUUCAGUCAUGGCUUCACCAAAGCUCAGAUCCAAUCACUGACGGCCAUCUGUGAGGCCUUGAUACCCUCAAUGCCAAUCACAGCCCUCCACGUCAGCUCCCAGCGGGAUCCGCCACCAAGCCCAAGCCUCGUCUCCUUCUACAAAGCUUCAGGCUCCGAUUACCAAGUCCCUGACCAGGCAUUAUUUCGGUCCCGAAACUCUGAAACUUUCGUCUUCUCCAUACGAAAUUCCAUCUUCUGCAAUCACUUUAUCAUCGAAACUUACCGUCAAACAACACCCAAAAUACUGCACUUUUUUUAAUACAAAACAUAGAAAUAUUUCUUCCUUUUUGGUGUUUGCAGUUCCCUUUUCUUUUCUGUUUUUUUUUUUAUAAUGGUUCAACCCAAAUUUUGGGUACAUGUUGGUUUUAUCAUGGUUACUAAUUCUGUGGAUUUGUCAUGUAAUUACUUCCCAAAAAAUGGAUUUUUGGGUAUUUGACAUUUUUUAUUUAUUAUAAUAUAGGAGUCAAAGGAAUAUUUGCAUCUUCUCAUGCUUUCAGUUUAUUCUUUUUGCUUUUUUGGUUUCCCAAAAUUUUGGUACUCCACAGCCAAAUUUCAGUAAAAAAAAAAAACGACCUUGUUUCGUUUACUAAUCUUUUUAAUUGGUUUAUUUUUGGACAAGGAUUUGUGGAUUUUAUGUAAUUUCUUUUUUUGCAUUUCAUUGUCUUCUGUGGGUUUUAUGUUGUUUAUUCCUAUUAAAUUUAGGAAAUUCUUUUCCUAUUCUUAGACCAUCUAAUAUUUUCUUAUCCUAUUUUUGGUCAAUUUUAUUUGUUGUGCUUCACUUUUUUUCAUAAAUCUUUGUGGGCGCCUUUUUAGGUUGCAGAAUUGAUGGUGAAAAGAGGACUACCAGAUGCUGUGACUUUGGUUUCAUGGGUAUUGUGGGCCUUGUCCACAAGGCUUGGGACAUUACUUCUUUGUGGGUCCACUUGCCUUUCUCUCAAUUUCCCUUUCAUUAGAAGCUUUUCUGAGAUGCCAGUGGAGAAGAGAGAGAAAGUGUUGAUGGCCUGGUCUAGAGAGAGAAGCUUCUUUUCUGCACUCAGACUUAGCUUUGCGCUCUUCAAGAUUUUCUGCGUGUAUGUCUUCUACUCCUGGGUAAGUUUUUUUUUUUGUUUCAAUAUUUUUUUAUUUUUUAUUUGUAGUUGUUAGGAAAAUUAUAAAAAAUAUCUCUUUUUUAGAUUAUUAGAAAUAGAACCCAAAUUUUUCAAAACUUCAUUUGUAGCCGAUUUUUUGUAUAUUUUUUCAUGGUAGUGUAGGGCAUCACAGUUUACCCCGAACCAUGAUGGGUUUAAGUAAUUUUGACCGUGAACCAUCAUUGGUUUAAGUGAUUUUGACCCUGAACCAUGAUGGGUUUAAGUGAUUUUGACCCUGAACCAUGAUGGGUUUAAGUGAUUUUUUUUCAUGGUAGUGUAGGGCAUCACAGUUGACCCUGAACCAUGAUGGGUUCAAGUGAUUUUGUGUUGGGUUUAAGGCUAGAACCACAAAGAAUCACGGAACUUAAAGCACGUCAUAGUUCUAAUUGAACCGUGAUAGGGUCAUGGGUUGUUUAACUAUUAAAGUUCUAAUUGAACCGUGAUGGUAUCACCGUGGUGCGUGAUAGCCAAGGUGAUCAUCAUGGGUGGUUCUAAUGCUACCCCCAUCCGUCAUUGUCCCAGUAGGUUAAGCCCCACAUCAGCAGGACUUUAACACUUAUGUGAAGGGUAUUUUAAAAAAAAAAAAAAAAAAAAAAAAAAAAAUUAAAAUAAAUAAAAAUAAUGGGUUGAUGAAAAUGCAAAGGAGCAUGAUUUAGGUUUCGGAAAAUUUAGAGUUUGCUUCCAAUAACCUAAAGAAACGAGAUAUUUUUAAUAAUUUUCUUAGUUUACGUCUAAGGUGUUUUAGUGGCCCAGGGAAGCAAACUGUAAGUGUGGUCUUGCAUCCAGAACGUCUAAUUGGUUUUUCUUUGUCAUGAAUCUUUGAGAAAGUGUAAAUAGUAUUUGAUUCAUCUCGUGAUCAACGUAAAUGUUUUUGAGCUCAAUAGUCUUUCCAUAUGAGUCCAUCAAAAGUCUUUACACCGUAUGAUGCACCUAUCAUGUUUUCCGCUGGUAUAGUAGAGUACACUGUACACUUACUUCCUCGCGCAAAAGAGUUACUCCGGAUGAUUCUUUUUUAAAGAGAUUUUAAAAAAUGGUGCAGUUGGCAUACCGAUGCAUCAGGCGAUGUAGAGGUAAGGUGCGCCUUCAAAUUUUAUCAUGAUAUAUAAUUUUGAUGUAAAAUGCUAUGAAGAUUAUCUCAAAAUCUAUUUUUAUAUUUAAUUAUAAAAUUUUAAAUUUUAAAAAUGGUUAAAAUCAAGUAGAUCUAUAUACAUAUGCAAAUCUUGAAAAUAGACAUUGUAAAAUGCAGUAUUUUUGAGACUUAAAAUCUUUUUAUUUUUCAUGGUCAUACAUCUCGAUGUCGAGAUGAUCAAUCAAAGGGUUUUUCAAUAUUAAAACUACCUUUUCCGAUGGAUUUUUGAGGUGCAUCCGUAGGUCUACUUAUAAGGUUGCAACCAAUCUUAUAAUGUAGAGCUACGGAUUAAACUUUUUCCUUAUAAAAAUAUACACAAGAUAUCAACUGUUUAACCAUCCUUAUAUUGUACAAGUAAGGAGCACUUCUUGAUUUUGCUUGGAUGUAGUUUCGGUGUCCGAAGCCAUAUAAUGACUUGAAAAUAUAUUUUCAACUAUUUAAAAUACCAAAAAUGGUAUAGAUAAAACAAUUCUAUAAACACUUGAAAAUAGACUCCCGAUGAUUUGUUACUAGAUAUCUAUUUUUAGGAUCUAAAAUUCAGUUUUUCUUCGUACCCAUUCAUUUGAGGACAAGAUGAUCAGAUUGGAGGGUUUUUCAAUGUCGAAACCCUCUCUUUUGGGGAUUUUUGAGAUGCACAUUACUUCAAUAGUGUAAGGUCAACACCUUUCUUGAACUUUUCCCUUAACAAUUUUCUCAUAUUUUUUAUUUAAUUUCAAAAUACCUACCUAAAUAUACAUGAUCAUGCAUUGAAACAGCUUUUUCUCAUAAUAUACACAAGAGACGAAUUGUUGGAAAAGGGUAAAAAGCUGUUAAACUGUUGAGAAUUUAUGAGUAUUUUGAUAAUGGGAAAAUUUCAUACAGAACCUUAAUUCCUUGUAUUAUUCUGAACAUUUCACCGUAGCCCCUCAUCUCUUAUCUCCCUCUUUUAUUGAUUUUGACUAUAAAAAUUAGCCACAGCAAAUCUUUUUAUACUAUUUCAACCCAAAAAAAAUUUUAACCCUCUUUUUCCCUUUCCAUCGAUUGAAAAAGUUUGUGUUGCAAUGGUGUAAAAUGAUUUUUUUGAGUUAAUUUUUAUGAUUAAAAAUCAAUAAAAGAGAGAGAUAACCAUUACUUAACCUCUUCCCUCCAUCUAUCUAUGACUUCACUAACCAACC